UACGGAGGGAGCUAGCGUUGUUCGGAAUUACUGGGCGUAAAGCGCACGUAGGCGGCUACUCAAGUCAGAGGUGAAAGCCCGGGGCUCAACCCCGGAACUGCCUUUGAAACUAGGUAGCUAGAAUCUUGGAGAGGUCAGUGGAAUUCCGAGUGUAGAGGUGAAAUUCGUAGAUAUUCGGAAGAACACCAGUGGCGAAGGCGGCUCACUGGCCCGGUACUGACGCUGAGGUGCGAAAGCGUGGGGAGCAAACAGG
rnacentral:rRNA from 1 species